CAUCAACCUGGCGGUGCUGCCUGGAAGAACAGGAGAAAGUGGGUUGUUAGUGUUCCAGAGUGGCCUCUGUCGGGGUCAUUCUAUCACACAACUUCAGAAAUGAAAGGGUCCUUAGAACCCUGAUUGGUUUAGGUCCUUGGUUUGUAAGCAACAGAAAGCAGUUAGCAUUAGGAAAUUCAAGGGCAGAACAUGAAGGAAUCACCAGCUUGUGAUAUAGCAGGGGAGCCUGGGAAAGACCAGCACAACUAUGGGGUCACAAUAGGAAUGACCUGGUGUGAUGCGAGCCAUCCAUGUCUUCAGCCUUGUGUCACUGUUUCCAUAAAGUCCCCGGGAGACCACCUGGCUGGUCACACCUAGAUCCUGCACCUAGAUCCUGCACUGACCACCAGGAGCAGAAGGGAGAGGAGAGGACUGAACCUGGCCUGUGGCUUUCACACAGCAUAGUAUUGCUCAGGAGUUUGUCAUCCCGCCCAAAUGAUGCCUCUGAGGGAGACGGGUGGGUUCUUUACCACUAGUGCCAUCUGGGAAGCCCUCUGCAGAUGUUCACUGUAUCCCAAAGCCUGUUGUUAAAGUUGGAACAAUUAUCCAUGGAGCCCCAGGGCCCAAGCCACUUCCCGGUCUCCGCAGAACAAAGCUGCAAACCCAGCUGCACGGACCCCCAAGAGAAGCCCCUCGCUCAGAGGCCCCUGGCUUGGGGAUAAAUUCCUUCUCAGCUCUCCUCACCCCGGCUGAAGCCAGCUCCUUGGAGGAAGAUGUGCUUCUGUCUCGCCUGAAGAAGCCACUCUUAGGAGCCAGGGGUCCCUCUGGAGGCAGUUCUGAGCUUCCUAGCCUGCUGAGUCUUUCUAGAGAGGAUGUGAUCCACAGAGAAGCCCCACACAUUGGUCCAGUCUCCACGGUUCUCCGUCCUGCUCUGGGGCUUCAGAGAUUGAUGUCUAAGACAGGACCAAGGAGCUCCCUCACUCUCUUGCUUCUAG
ensembl:lncRNA